rnacentral:lncRNA from 1 species
UUUUCUCUUUAAGGACUUCUAGAUGUUUACUUGUGCUCUUCUGUAUUUCUUUAAGGGAGUUAUUUUUGUCCUUUUUAAAGUCCUCUAUCAUCAUUGUGAGAUGUGAUUUUAAAUUAGAGUCUUGCUCUUCCAGUGUUUUCAGGUAUCCAGGACUUUCUGUGGUGGGAGCACUGGGUUUUGAUGCCAUGCAACCUUGGUUUCUCUAGGUAAGAUUCUUGUGUUUGUCUUUUGCCAUAUGGUUAUCUCUGGUGUUCGAUCGUCCUUCUGUCUCUGCCUGGAGCUUUUUCCAACUGUGGGUUUGUAAGCCUGUGUCAGCACUGCUGGGAGAACAACUCUCUCCUGGCUAGACCCAUGCACAGUGUGCUGUGGAACAGCCUCAGCUCCCUGUUGUAGUGAGAGUUGUUUCCAACUGCCAGUUUAGUGGCCAUGUAGAGAUAUUGUUUGAAUUAGACCAUUAGACCAGGACACCCCAGUAGGUAGGGACAAGGCAGCAUAGACAAACCCAAAGAUGAGAAUAGGGUUAUUAACUACCUCUACCAGUUUCAUGAGGAUACUAUUAAUAACCAGAGAGGCUGACAGCCAGGCCAGACCACCAGGUCAUCACAUGGUGUGAUAGGGGCUGGUGCCCUGAGUGACGGAGAGCAGUUCAUCCAGGCCUGGGAUUUCUCAGCAGUGAGAAAGGACCCAUCUUAGAGGAGAGAUGAAAUCUCACCUAAGAGAAAACGUCCAAGAAUGAGGGUCAGUGAAAACACUGAAUGCCUCCAUCCUCAAAGGCAGCAUAGGGGUAGGUUUGAGCUCAAGAACUUUGCCCUGGGACCAUUUACUCUAACCAGUGUGGGGAGGGAACUUACCAGUUCUCUGAAAAUUGGUCUAUCGAGUCUUGGCUCUUCAUGUGGUAGCAGGGGGCUGCAAACCUGCACAAUUUAUAAAUCUGAGUCUCAGCACCAAAUGCUGGGUUUAUAAACUAACAAAGGGGAAAGAAAAUAUGUUUAGUGGAGGUGUAGUCAGGUAUGGGGGAAGGGGGUGCCUCUGUGGGCCCCUGCUGAAGCAUCCCUUCCCCCUGAUAGAGUUUAUUCAGGGUAUGGGGAGGGGAGUUGAGAGAGUAGGAGAGAGGGAGAGAGAGAGAGAGAGAGAGAGAGAGAGAAGAGGUCUGCUAUGAGCAUGUGGGUGGGGGGAGGUGAAUGGAGAGAGAGGGGUGAAGGGGUGAGAGGACAAAGCCAGAGGAAGAAGGCAAAGGCAAGAGAGAGUGUAGGGGGUGUGCAACCCCUUUUAUAGUGAGUUAGGCAUACCUAGCUAUUGCCAGGUAAUUGUGGGGUGGAGCAUAGUCAAAAUUCUAACAGCCUGUAUUAUUUGGAUUGUAUUUAGAAAGUCUGUGCCUCCCUCUUUCUUUCUUUCUUUCUUUCUUUCUUUCUUUCUUUCUUUCUUUCUUUCCUUCCUUCCUUCCUUCCUUCCUUCCUUCCUUCCUUCCUUGUAUUUCCAUAUAAAAUUUAAGGUUCUUUUUUUUUUUUCAAUUUCUGUGAAGAAUUUUGAUGGCAAUUGUAUUUAAUUUGUUAAUUGCUUUUGAUGUGAUGGCUACUUUAAUGAUAUUAAUUCUGCCAAUCUAUACAUAUAGAAGAUCUUUCUAUCUCCUGAUAUCUUCAAUGUUCUUUUUUCAAUGUUAAAAUUUUUAUUGUGCAAGUCUUUUACUUUCCUAAUAAUAUUGAAAUUGAUAUUUGCUGUAUUUAUAAAUGAGAUUUCCUUAUGUUAUCUCAUUGAAUCUUCUCUUUGAUGUUUGUAUGUCUCUGUUAAUUUUUUAGUGGAUAGGGAAAAAGAAAUUAGACAACAACAUAAGAGUCAGCGAGGAGGUAAAUUUGGACUAUGACUAUGAUUUCCUGUUGACAAAUUUAAAAUUUUAUCUUCCUUAAAUUUUAAUAUUAAUAAACUGAAAUUUAAGGCUAUGUUCAAUUCUUGAAAUAAGGAUUUGUUUUUUGAGCACAUAUGAUCUUCCAGCCAUUGUACUUUGUAGUUUCCCUGUUUUAUAUCAAUUGAGUCCCCACAUAAAUGCUUUGAGUUAUAAACCAACAUCAUCAACAACAACAAUAAUAAAGUUUUGAGGUAAGGUUUUAUUAUAUAGGCUGAGCUAGUCUUGUACUCCCAUUUCUCUUUUCUUAUCCUUCCCAGUGCUGGGAUUAAGGCAUGUGCUAACAGGUCCCACUUGAAUUUUGCAUCAGCAUUUCCCUCAUUUUUUAUAGAUGAGAUGAACAAUUUGAUCAGUUAUGUGUAAGAGAAGCUUUGCAACUAGCCAAGGUUGUCUUGCUAAGAGCUAGGUUAAUCAUGAUGACACAGAAAGUAAUAUUUAAUGCCAGUAGGUGAGAAAUGGGAGAGAGAAGUCCUUUACAUGGUCAGAAGAGACAGUAAUGAAUCCAUAAGUGACUCUCAUGCACACUUCUAGCUUGAUCUGCUGAUACAAGAGAUUAUGGGCUGCUCUGUGCUGGGAUGAAACCCAGGCAUUCACUGUUGUUCAUUUGAAAGGCAGUUAGGGAAGUGAAAGGCUCUUAGUAAACAAUAACAUCAAGAGCAGAAAAAGCAUUUGACAAGAUCCAACACCCAUUCAUGAUAAAAGUUUUGGAAAGAUCAGGAAUUCAAGGCCCAUACCUAAACAUAAUAAAAGCAAUCUACAGCAAACCAGUAGCCAACAUCAAAGUAAAUGGAGAGAAGCUGGAAGCAAUCCCACUAAAAUCAGGGACUAGACAAGGUUGCCCACUUUCUCCCUACCUUUUCAACAUAGUACUUGAAGUAUUAGCCAGAGCAAUUCAACAACAAAAGGAGAUCAAGGGG